GCGACGUUUAUUUAGAAUCAUUCUUCUGAGGAAAGCCAUUCCAAAUACAACCCUACUGCUCACUCUGUAUACAUAUAUGCCAUAGACAACAUUAGAUCUUAUCUUCCCAUUUCAACAUGAGAUUCUCUUCUGUUAUCUCCAUUUUUAUACUUGCUAUUCUUGGUUUCUGGACAUUGAUUCAUGCCCAGCAGCCUUAUGAGGGAAAAGCUACAACAAAUUGUUCCAACACCGACAAUUCUGUUCUUGGAUACUCUUGCAGUGGUCUAAACAGGAGUUGCCAGGCUUAUGUUACCUUCAGAUCCCAACCUCCUUACAACUCUGUCGCUUCCAUCUCUACCCUCUUGAGCUCUGACCCAUCUCAGCUCUCUGCAAUAAACUCAGUUUCUGAGGCUGCAUCAUUUGAUACAAACAAGUUGGUGCUAGUUCCUGUCAACUGUUCAUGUUCAGGUAACUACUCUCAGGCUAACACAUCUUAUGUUGUCCAGGCAGGAGACUCGCCUUUCUUGAUUGCUAAUAAUACCUAUCAGGGCCUCUCAAACUGUCAAGCUGUCCAGGAUCAAAACAGAAGGCAAACCACUGAUAUAUUUGCUGGUGAAAAGCUGAACAUUCCUCUGAGGUGUGCUUGCCCCACCAAAAACCAAACUGGUGUAGGUAUCAAGUAUCUGUUAAGUUACCUAGUCACUUGGGGAGAUACAGUUUCAGCUGUUAGUGUAAAAUUUGGUGGGGAUACUGGGAGGAGCCUUGAAGCUAAUGGGCUUAGCGAGCAGAAUGCCGUCAUUUAUCCCUUCACUACGCUUUUGAUUCCCCUGGAAAACCCACCAUCGAGUACUCAAACAAUAGCACCACCUCCGCCUCCAGCUUCACCACCGCCUCCUUCAUCACCAUCUCCUAACUCCAAAAAAAGCUCCGAUAAAACAUGGGUUUAUGUCGUCGUUGGGGUUCUUGGAGGAAUUGCCCUUAUCACAGUCCUUGGCAUCAUUAUUUUCUUCGCAAUGUUUCGUAAAAAUAAGAAUAGAUCUGAUCCGAUUACCGUCCCUGAAAGCGUCGAGGCUAUUGAGAAACCCGUCGAGAAGAAGUUGGAUGAAGAAUCUCAGGACUUCUUGGAGAGCAUAUUUAGCAUAGCUCAAUCUAUUAAAGUUUACAGUUUCAAAGAACUGCAAACUGCAACCGAUAAUUUCAGUCCCAGUUGUUGGAUUAGCGGAUCUGUUUAUCGUGGCUUAAUUAAUGGUGACUACGCUGCCAUUAAGAAAGUGAAUGGUGAUGUGACAAAGGAGAUAGAAUUAUUAAACAAGAUUAACCAUUUUAAUCUUGUUCGACUCUCUGGUGUUUGUUUCCGUGAAGGGAAUUGGUAUCUAGUUUACGACUAUGCUGCAAAAGGACCCUUGAGUGAUUGGAUUUAUAGCGCCAACAAUGAUGGGAAGUUCCUAAAUUGGACGCAGAGAGUACAGAUUGCUUUGGAUGUGGCCACAGGGCUUAACUAUCUACACAAUUUUACUAGUCCUUCUCAUGUCCACAAGGAUAUAAAAAGUAGUAAUGUUCUUCUUGAUAGUGAGUUCAGGGCUAAGAUUGCAAAUCUUGCCAAGGCAAGGUCAGCAGAAGCACAGGAAGGUGAAUUUGCCUUGACAAGGCACAUUGUUGGAACAAAAGGUUACAUGGCUCCUGAGUACUUGGAACAUGGUCUGGUCUCCACAAAGCUUGAUGUCUAUGCAUUUGGGGUUGUUAUGUUGGAGAUAGUUUCUGGGAAAGAGGUUGCUGCUUUAUACACAGAGGAAAAUAUGAACUUAUCAGACGUGUUAAAUGAUGUUCUUUCCAAGGAAGAUGGACAGGAGAUUCUGAGGAAAUUCAUUGAUCCUUCCAUUCAAGGGAAUUAUCCUUUGGAACUCACUGAUCUUGUGAUGAGAUUGAUUGAUAGAUGCUUGAAUAAAAAUCCGGCAGAUCGUCCAUCCAUGGAUGAGAUCACGCAGUCUCUCUCAAGAAUCUUGACCACUUCACUCAAUUGGGAAUCAUCCAACGUUCCAGGGUACCAGUUCAGCAGGAGCUCUUGACAGCAAGUUAUUUAAAAUGAAUGCUUUCACUUGUAAGUUUUGCUUUAUGCCUUUUUAGACUUUUCUGUAUUUGUUCUUCCUUUGUCAGGUAAUAUAAUAAUAUCCAAGAUUGUAUUGUAAAAUUCUUUUGUGUAAGUAUUUCAGAUAUAUAGUGACAUUUGAAAAUUCCAA
rnacentral:misc_RNA from 1 species